GUUGGAUUUUUCUGAUAAUGCCAGUCUGCCUCAGUUCGGCUGACGGAGGUGUAGUUUUUGUGAAGAUUCACCAGGAGAGCGGCGUCUUGCAAGAUGAGUUUCCUUCAUAACAGCCUGGGCUGGGGGCUCCAACUUUCAACGGGAGAAGGAGUGUUCUCUGCAAACUGGUUGUUGAACCUUACAACAGAGCCCACAAAAGAAAGACCAGGGUAGGAAAAACAUCACUGUAUUUGCCGUAGAACAUAUGAAGACAGAAAUCUGAAGACCUCGCUGGGGUCAACCCUUAGCAGAGGAGACUGUCACUGGGCAAGGUGGAGGAAGGAGCUGCAGUGGGCAAUGGUCUUUGCCACCAAGGCUGUCUCACAGGACAUGUGACUUACUUACAAGAUGCACAUAUCAGCUUAUGCAAGCAGUUUGACUGCAGCAAUUGAGCAGGGCAUUUUGCAAGGGAAUAAGAGGAAUGGGAGAGCUGGAGUUUCCCAGGUUCCAGUCCCUGCUUUCCUGGAAGGAGCUGAGCCACUGAGGACCCUGCUCCCAAAAGGGAGAGAAGAUGCUGUCUCUAACAAAGGAAAAGACACUUAAGCUGGGGCUUGCAGCCUUGUGGGAAAUCUUAGGGAGCGGAAGGUGACAAACAGCUGUUUUUGACCAAAGAUGUCCAUGGGACAAAAUUCAAUAACCACUGCCUUGCAUUGGUGGCUCUCUCCCUUCACUCAGGCCCACCAGAGCUGUUAGUGGAACUGGAGUACAGGUGGUGAGGAAGAAGAGUGUCACUGUGACAGUUGUCUGCGUGAGACAAAAAUGGAGACUGUCCCAGCAGGUAGGGAAAUUCCUGCACGUUGAGCGAGCCUGGAAAAACAC
rnacentral:lncRNA from 1 species